rnacentral:rRNA from 1 species
UACGUAGGGGGCAAGCGUUGUCCGGAAUCAUUGGGCGUAAAGAGCGUGUAGGCGGCUUGGUAAGUCCGCUGUGAAAGUCCAGGGCUCAACCCUGGAAUGCCGGUGGAAACUGUCAAGCUUGAGUCCGGAAGAGGCGAGUGGAAUCCUGGUGUAGCGGUGAAAUGCGCAGAUAUCAGGAGGAACACCAAUGGCGAAGGCAGCUCGCUGGGACGGUACUGACGCUGAGACGCGAAAGCGUGGGGAGCAAACAGG